GGCGACCUAAUGCCGGAUGUGAAAACUGGGAGGCAUCUUUUGGUUUUCAAAGCUGGGGACCGUAAGGCCUGGCGCUUCAUGAUGAGCCCGCGGCCUAUCAUCGGUAGUUGGCGGGGUAACGGCCCACCAAGCCUGAGACGGGUAGCUGGUCUGAGAGGACGACCAGCCACACUGGAACUGAGACACGGUCCAGACACCUACGGGUGGCAGCAGUCGAGAAUUUUUCACAAUGGGCGCAAGCCUGAUGGAGCGACGCCGCGUGGGGGAUGAAUGGCUUCGGCCCGUAAACCCCUGUCAUUUGCGAUCAACCGUUAUUGUUUAAGAGAUGAUAACCUGAUAGUAGCGAAAGAGGAAGGGACGGCUAACUCUGUGCCAGCAGCCGCGGUAAUACAGAGGUCCCAAGCGUUGUUCGGAUUCACUGGGCGUAAAGGGUGCGUAGGUGGCGAGGUAAGUCGGAUGUGAAAGCUCGGAGCUCAACUCCGAAAUGGCAUUGGAAACUA
rnacentral:rRNA from 1 species